CACCCUCUCAAAGUGAGGAAAAGAAACCUGUUUUCCUUAUGACAAAGACUGAUUUGAUGAUAAACCUUCUCGGCUUCCCAGGAGGUGGCAGUGACUCUGAUCGGUGAGGAGGAGGCCGAAGGAGUAGGGGAAUCUAAUCCACUCAGGCCAAGGGAGGAAAGAGGAGGCGGCCCGAGGCCACACUGGUUAGUGUCCUGCACUCAUCUCCUUGGGGUGGGCACGGCAGGGGCCUCCACUUCUGCUGUGGCAAAGCAGUAGAUGUCAUCGAAGCCCAUUCUGUCCAGUCCAAGGGGGUCGCCAUCCGACUCUGAAGCCUGGAGACCCUGGAGCCCCAGAGUGAGUCUUCCCGAGGCCGUGACCAGAGCUUUCUGCAGCCUGGACCUCGGGCCCUGCUUAAACCGGAGGGGAGAUCCCCCUCUGCACCAGACAAAGGCCUGUCUGGAAACAGGAGCAGAGACCAAGGGACACAAGGACCACAUUUCUGCCAGCUUCCUGCCUCUCUGCCUGCUGUCACGUCUGCAGGGCUGACGUCUGCAUCUGCUGACUUCCACGGGACCUUAUCUUCAGACCGGCCUCUUCGGAGGGGCAGCAUCUACACCGAGAAGGAUGUCAGCAUGUGCGUGGAGGGCUGGAACCGCGCCUUCUUCAGCAUGGAUCAGAGACCGGCCAAGAGCUCUGGCAGCAGAGUCAGCUAGAGGCCAGCUGUGCUCCGGACAGGAUCAGAAGCUGGCUGUCUGUGCUUCCUUCCUUUUGCUCCUCCUCUUCAUCAGAUCCUUCUUUGUCCCUGAAAGCCAGGCCGAUGCCCAGCAGUGCACAUUCUCUUGCCCCUCCGUUCCUCUGAGGUGGCCGCAGUCUGAAGCCCCUCUGGGCCCCCUUGUGCCUGAACUGAGACACACAAGUAGAAAAGGACUCCGCAGACGGCUGCACCCGUGGUGCAAGAGGAGGCCCCGAGGCUGUUUGCUCCAGCACCUGAGCCUGGAAGGGAACACAGAAGGUGGCAGGGACAGCAGAGGGGAGAUACCUGUGUGCAGGUCCACUGGGCGUCGGGAAGGG
rnacentral:lncRNA from 1 species